GAUGAACGCUAGCGGCAGGCCUAACACAUGCAAGUCGAGGGAGGAGCCUUCGGGCUUCGACCGGCGUACGGGUGCGUAACGCGUAUACAAUCUGCCUUUCACAUAGGGAUAGCCCGAAGAAAUUUGGAUUAAUACCUAAUGGUAUAUAGAUGUGGCAUCACCUUUAUAUUAAAGCUGAGGCGGUGAAAGGUGAGUAUGCGUUCUAUUAGCUAGUUGGAGAGGUAACGGCUCCCCAAGGCGACGAUAGAUAGGGGUUCUGAGAGGGAUAUCCCCCACACUGGUACUGAGAUACGGACCAGACUCCUACGGGAGGCAGCAGUGAGGAAUAUUGGACAAUGGUCGGAAGACUGAUCCAGCCAUGCCGCGUGCAGGAAGACGGCCUUAUGGGUUGUAAACUGCUUUUGCAGGGGAAGAAUAAGGACUACGCGUAGUUUGAUGACGGUACUCUGCGAAUAAGCAUCGGCUAACUCCGUG
rnacentral:rRNA from 1 species